rnacentral:rRNA from 1 species
CGAACGCUGGCGGCGUGCUUAAUACAUGCAAGUCAACUAAGUCUUUUGCAGCAAUGUAAAAGAUUUGGUGGCGCACGGGUGAGUAUAACGUAGGCAAUCUACCAAAAGGUCUGACACAACCUGCCGAAAGGCAGGCUAAUAUCAGAUGAUACAAAAAGCAGGCAUCUGCUCUUUAUCAAAGCUUCGGCGCCUUUUGAUGAGCCUACGCCCCAUUAGANAGUUGGCGGGGGUAAUAGCCCACCAAGUCUACGAUGGGUAACUGGUCUGAGAGGAUGAUCAGUCACACUGGAACUGAGACACGGUCCAGACUCCUACGGGAGCAGCAGUAAGAUAUUGCUCAAUGGCCGAAAGGCUGAAGCAGCAACGCCGCGUGAAGGAUGAAAUAC